GUCCUAGCCGUAAACGAUGGACACUGGGUGUUGGCACCGUUAAGGUGUCAGUGCCGAAGGUAACCCGUUAAGUGUCCCACCUGAGGAGUACGGCCGCAAGGUUGAAACUCAAAGGAAUUGACGGGGGCCAGCACAAGCGGUGGAACAUGUGGUUCAAUUCGAUGCUACGCGAAGAACCUUACCCAGGCUUGACAUGCUUGAAGUAGGAACCUGAAAGGGCCACGACUCGUAUCCAGUCGAGAACUUGCACAGGUGCUGCAUGGCUGUCGU
rnacentral:rRNA from 1 species